rnacentral:rRNA from 1 species
CCACUAUGCUUAGCCGUAAACAUUGACAGUUUAAUACAUUUUCUGUCCGCCUGGGUACUACGAGCGUUAGCUUAAAACCCAAAGGACUUGGCGGUGCUUUAGACCCCCCUAGAGGAGCCUGUUCUAGAACCGAUAAUCCCCGUUCAACCUCACCCUUCCUUGCUCGUCCCGCCUAUAUACCACCGUCGCCAGCUUACCCUGUGAAGGCUGAAAAGUAAGCGAAACCGGCACUCCCCUAAACGUCAGGUCGAGGUGUAGCGAAUGGAAGGGGAAGAAAUGGGCUACAUUCCCUUUUAAAAUACAGGGUAUAACGAAAGAUGCACUGAAACGUACAUCCGAAGGAGGAUUUAGCAGUAAGCGGAAAGUAGAGUGUUCCACUGAAACUGGCUCUUAAGCGUGCACACACCGCCCGUCACUCUCCCCGAAACUUUACCAAAACAUUAAUUAAAAUGCCAAAAUCAUAGAGGGGAGGCAA